rnacentral:rRNA from 1 species
GAUGAACGCUGGCGGCGUGCCUAAUACAUGCAAGUCGAGCGAACGGACGAGAAGCUUGCUUCUCUGAUGUUAGCGGCGGACGGGUGAGUAACACGUGGAUAACCUACCUAUAAGACUGGGAUAACUUCGGGAAACCGGAGCUAAUACCGGAUAAUAUUUUGAACCGCAUGGUUCAAAAGUGAAAGACGGUCUUGCUGUCACUUAUAGAUGGAUCCGCGCUGCAUUAGCUAGUUGGUAAGGUAACGGCUUACCAAGGCAACGAUGCAUAGCCGACCUGAGAGGGUGAUCGGCCACACUGGAACUGAGACACGGUCCAGACUCCUACGGGAGGCAGCAGUAGGGAAUCUUCCGCAAUGGGCGAAAGCCUGACGGAGCAACGCCGCAUGAGUGAUGAAGGUCUUCGGAUCGUAAAACUCUGUUAUUAGGGAAGAACAUAUGUGUAAGUAACUGUGCACAUCUUGACGGUACCUAAUCAGAAAGCCACGGCUAACUACGUGCCAGCAGCCGCGGUAAUACGUAGGUGGCAAGCGUUAUCCGGAAUUAUUGGGCGUAAAGCGCGCGUAGGCGGUUUUUUAAGUCUGAUGUGAAAGCCCACGGCUCAACCGUGGAGGGUCAUUGGAAACUGGAAAACUUGAGUGCAGAAGAGGAAAGUGGAAUUCCAUGUGUAGCGGUGAAAUGCGCAGAGAUAUGGAGGAACACCAGUGGCGAAGGCGACUUUCUGGUCUGUAACUGACGCUGAUGUGCGAAAGCGUGGGGAUCAAACAGGGUUAGAUACCCUGGUAGUCCACGCCGUAAACGAUGAGUGCUAAGUGUUAGGGGGUUUCCGCCCCUUAGUGCUGCAGCUAACGCAUUAAGCACUCCGCCUGGGGAGUACGACCGCAAGGUUGAAACUCAAAGGAAUUGACGGGGACCCGCACAAGCGGUGGAGCAUGUGGUUUAAUUCGAAGCAACGCGAAGAACCUUACCAAAUCUUGACAUCCUUUGACAACUCUAGAGAUAGAGCUUUCCCCUUCGGGGGACAAAGUGACAGGUGGUGCAUGGUUGUCGUCAGCUCGUGUCGUGAGAUGUUGGGUUAAGUCCCGCAACGAGCGCAACCCUUAAGCUUAGUUGCCAUCAUUAAGUUGGGCACUCUAAGUUGACUGCCGGUGACAAACCGGAGGAAGGUGGGGAUGACGUCAAAUCAUCAUGCCCCUUAUGAUUUGGGCUACACACGUGCUACAAUGGACAAUACAGAGGGCAGCGAAACCGCGAGGUCAAGCAAAUCCCAUAAAGUUGUUCUCAGUUCGGAUUGUAGUCUGCAACUCGACUACAUGAAGCUGGAAUCGCUAGUAAUCGUAGAUCAGCAUGCUACGGUGAAUACGUUCCCGGGUCU